AACGAACGCUGGCGGCAUGCCUAACACAUGCAAGUCGAACGAGACCUUCGGGUCUAGUGGCGCACGGGUGCGUAACGCGUGGGAACCUGCCCUUAGGUUCGGAAUAACUCCCCGAAAGGGGUGCUAAUACCGGAUAAUGUCUUCGGACCAAAGAUUUAUCGCCUUUGGAUGGGCCCGCGUUGGAUUAGCUAGUUGGUAGGGUAAAAGCCUACCAAGGCGACGAUCCUUAGCUGGUCUGAGAGGAUGAUCAGCCACACUGGGACUGAGACACGGCCCAGACUCCUACGGGAGGCAGCAGUGGGGAAUAUUGGACAAUGGGCGAAAGCCUGAUCCAGCAAUGCCGCGUGAGUGAUGAAGGCCUUAGGGUUGUAAAGCUCUUUUACCCGGGAUGAUAAUGACAGUACCGGGAGAAUAAGCCCCGGCUAACUCCGUG
rnacentral:rRNA from 1 species